ensembl:lncRNA ZNF367 zinc finger protein 367
ACUUUAAACUGUAAAUUAAAGUAAGUUUUUAUUCAAAGCAACUUUUAAAAUUACAGCAUGUUUAUUCUUAUGCUGUUAACUCUGCCAAACUACAACUUAGCCAUAUGAAGCAUAAAACACUUCAAAAAUUUGAAUGUAAACCACAUUUUUAACACACCUCAAAUUUUAGAUGCCAAUGUAUUUUUCCAAAUAUAUAGCUUAUAUCAAAAAAGGAACAUUUUAAAUAUUUCUAUAGUAAAUAAUUGUAAUAAUUUCUUAAAACUUCCAAUUAUACAAAUAAAAAAUGUUUGUGAAUAUAACUAUUAUAAUUGACAAAAGCUGACAGGAGAAACAAACAAAAACUCUUACUUUUGAAGGCCUUAAAUUUUAUUAUGUGUGAACAGGCAAAUAUUUGUAUUUUUUAAAUUCCUACUGCAUUUCCUUCUUUAGGUAAGUUCAUUAAAUUUCCCAAAACCAAUGAAGCUUUUUAUAGUUCAUUUAAGUCAUAUUUGAGAGGAAAAAUUCUAGAGAAAAAUGUUGAAACCUAAACCAAGAAAAUUCAGAUGCUAUAGUCUGUGCUCAUAAGUGCUCCAAGUUAAAAUUCUAUAUACCAGAUUACAAAAAAAAAAUUCUUAGACCAUUACAAAUAUAAAUUCUCUUAUUACAAAAAAAAAAAAAAAAUCCCUUAAGAUUUGUAAUUUACUGUACAGAGGAAUUACAUUUUUAAAGUAUGUCCUCAUCAUACACAUUAUUUGUUACUAUUAUCUUUCACACUUUUGCCUCAUUUCAGUACAUUUACAUACAUCCCCUUCCCCAUGGCUAUAUGUUUUAAACUAUCUGUGUACUGCAACACAUUGGGAUUUUGAGAUAAAGAAGCCUACAUUUUAGAUGUUUAAACUACAUCUGUAGGCUACUACUUCAAUACAAAAAAAAGAAAAAAAGGCACUGACGAGCCCUUAUUUCUCUUAUUGUGAUGUUUACUCCAAUUAAGCAAUCUAUAAAAUUACCAUGCUAUGCAUGUUAUUUAGUUUCUGCUUAAAACAAGGUAAAAUGAUGGAAGUUUAUGCCUACAUAAAGGAGGUGAACUACUCUGCUCUUCAUUUUUCUAUUCAUGCUUCAGUACAUAAAGUGGUGUUUAAAAAUUUCAUCUAUUUUGGAAAAAAUUAUUUAAAACCACCACACAAGUUAACACACUUGCAGUUAAAACUAUUCCGGAAGCCUACUUAUUUGAGUAGCUAAUAUUUUCUGCAGUGUUUAACUGAUAGCUAAAUUUAGUGAACACAAAAUAGCUUGGCAUGUUAUUCUGAAGUAAAGCAAGAAGGUGGCUUUAUGCACUGAAAAUAUAAAUAGGAGGCUUCCAUUUGCUAAUAAUUCUAAACAAGCAGUACAUUUAAAUUUAGUGUUUGCUAACAAAAGAUCUAAAACGGUUCACUACAAAACAACCCUGUAGAUGUCCCUUUUAUUAAUAAAAAUCCAAGUGCCAAAUCUCAUUACAGGGCCCAUAAUACAUUUUUAAAAUACCGAUUACCAAGUUACCUAGACUUUGCAAGAUUAAUCAUUCGAUUUCAGCAAAUGAGAAACAUGAAAUGUGCAAAAGUUCCCAAGUUAACAAGCUAGGAAUGACAAGUGCUUUCAAACCUAAACAUCAUAGUGAGUUGUAAAACCUCAGAAAGAGAGAAUAAGACUGAUUUCAAUACAAUUUUGAAAAUUUUUAACUACUGUUCAUCUUACCAAGAUCUUCAAAUAUCUGUUUUCUUCCAAAGUCCCAAAGUUAGAAAGUCUUCUGAAAGUCAGUUUUCCAUCUCUAGUCUUAUUAGGCACACUAUUUUGCAAUUUUAAAAUACAUACCUUACUCACAUCUUAUACUUUCUGCUUGCUUCAGUGUUUACAGUAUUAUUAAACAUACUAAUAUACAUUGUUAAAAAUGAUCUUAUAAAUAAUCUAUUUAAACCUUCUUUGGCUACAUGUACCAUGCUUUUUUUUUUUCCCCCAUACAAGUGUCUUAUUCAGAAAGUGCUUUCUGUGAGAACUGCUUCCAAUGAAUGCAUUAAACUUGCAAAAUCUAGCCUCCCACAAUACGUAGUUUUCUACCCUGUACUAGAAGUCCCAUAUUUACAAAAUAUUUUAAACUUUACAACAAAUCUUUUACCAUAUAAAAAAGUGCAAUUCUCUCUCACCCCAUAUUCUGGGGCAAUGACAUUCUUCAUACAUUUCUACAGAAUAGCAGCCUAUGAUAAGCAAAUAAGGUGCUUAGCUUAUGCCCAAGGAUCUACUUUUUAAGUAUGCUGGGCAGUACUUUUGUACAGUGGAAGAGUCAGUGUUCGGGCUACUGGCGAAGCGGUGCUCCCGUCAGGUUGGCAAGCUCGAUGAGAGCGAGGGCUCCGUGCAGGCGCUCCCGCUGCUCCUGGAGCCGCCGCUGCGCACCACUCUUCUCGUCGUCUUCCUCGUCAGACUGGAGAUACUCCAGCGGGUCCUGCUGCUCCUGGUCAGCCUUCUGAACCAGCUUUCCUUUCAAGGUGGGAGUGCGCUGCUCUCGUGUUUCCCAGUACCUGUAAUGAA